rnacentral:tRNA from 1 species
GGAGGGAUGUCCGAGUGGUUUAAGGAGUUAGUCUUGAAAACUAAUGAUUCUUUAACGAGAACCAAGGGUUCGAAUCCCUUUCCCUCCACCA